GGCAUUCCAACUGCACCAACUCCUUCACUGCAGGAUCAGUGGAGUCAUCCAAAACUUGUAUUAUUUUCCUCUCUGAUGGCCAAUCCAAUCCACAAGCAGCUGAUAUCGAGAGCUUGUACACCUCUCUCUCAUUGUACAUCGGAAUCUGAACUAGCACCAAAGGGAAUGCAAGGUUCCCCAUCUCGACGUCCGGCGUCAUCGGCUCCCACCGGUGCCGCUUCUCCGGCUUCAGCCGGAAAACCUUUA
rnacentral:misc_RNA from 1 species